ACAUGCAAGUCGAGGGGUAUAUGUCUUCGGAUAUAGAGACCGGCGCACGGGUGCGUAACGCGUAUGCAAUCUACCUUUUACAGAGGGAUAGCCCAGAGAAAUUUGGAUUAAUACCUCAUAGUAUAGCUCUACCGCAUGGUAGUACUAUUAAAGUCACAACGGUAAAAGAUGAGCAUGCGUCCCAUUAGCUAGUUGGUAAGGUAACGGCUUACCAAGGCAACGAUGGGUAGGGGUCCUGAGAGGGAGAUCCCCCACACUGGUACUGAGACACGGACCAGACUCCUACGGGAGGCAGCAGUGAGGAAUAUUGGACAAUGGGCGCAAGCCUGAUCCAGCCAUGCCGUGUGCAGGAUGACGGUCCUAUGGAUUGUAAACUGCUUUUGUACGAGAAGAAACACUGCUUCGUGAAGCAGCUUGACGGUAUCGUAAGAAUAAGGAUCGGCUAACUCCGUGCCAGCAGCCGCGGUAAUACGGAGGAUCCAAGCGUUAUCCGGAAUCAUUGGGUUUAAAGGGUCCGUAGGCGGUUUAGUAAGUCAGUGGUGAAAGCCCAUCGCUCAACGGUGGAACGGCCAUUGAUACUGCUGAACUUGAAUUAUUAGGAAGUAACUAGAAUAUGUAGUGUAGCGGUGAAAUGCUUAGAGAUUACAUGGAAUACCAAUUGCGAAGGCAGGUUACUA
rnacentral:rRNA from 1 species